rnacentral:lncRNA from 1 species
AUGAUUUGUCAAAUUUGUGGGAGUUUGUUGCUGAAGGACUAAAACAAACAUUUAAGGGAGUUGAAGGUUAAAUGUGCAUAGGUGGGUAUCACAAGAACCAAAAUCAACCUUUACCAAUUACUGAGGGGCAAAAAUGCAAUUUCACCAAAAAAAAUUCUAGAGUUCAAACCUUCAUAACACACAUGAAUUCCAUAUGAUCAUCAUAGAAGAGAAGAAAAGGCAAGUUUUGCCACAGAAAUUAGGAAACUGUGUUUUUAGGUAUAUGCAAGCAAUCCUUCACUAGGUAUAUAAGAACUCGGUGGAGUUAUCCAACUCUCACAAAUUGAAAUAUAUUGGAGUGGGACCAGGAUGAUGUUACAUGUCAUAUACUAAACAUAUUAGAUGCCACGAGAAGUAGUCUUUCAUAAGAAAGAACUAAAAGAAGCAGUAAGAACCAGAAGUUUAGGUAACGUGGAAAGUGCUAUCAACUUGUUUGAAGCAGAUGCAGGGCAUCACAGCCAGUUAGACAAUUGCCUGCAAAGCAUUUUUUUUCUCAGCAAAUUACCAAUAAGGACAGGUAGAGCACACUUUAUAUCAAACGAAAACAAAUGGGCAAAAAGGAAAAGAGUUAACCCCCCCCCCCCCCCCCCCCCCCCCCCCCCCCAUUAGGAAACUGUGUUUUUAGGUAUAUGCAAGCAAUCCUUCACUAGGUAUAUAAGAACUCGGUGGAGUUAUCCAACUCUCACAAAUUGAAAUAUAUUGGAGUUGGACCAGGAUGAUGUUACAUGUCAUAUACUCAACAUAUAAG